rnacentral:rRNA from 1 species
CUCGUAGGCGGUCUGUCGCGUCGGAUGUGAAAACCCGGAGCUCAACUCCGGGCCUGCAUUCGAUACGGGCAGACUUGAGUACUGCAGGGGAGACUGGAAUUCCUGGUGUAGCGGUGGAAUGCGUAGAUACCAGGAGGAACACCAAUGGCGAAGGCAAGUUACUGGACAGAAGGUGACGCUGAGGCGCGAAAGUGUGGGGAGCGAACC